ACCGAGGUGGCGGAAUUGGUAGACGCGCUACCUUGAGGUGGUAGUAGGUAUUUCCUGUGGGGGUUCGAGUCCCCCCCUCGGUACCA
rnacentral:tRNA from 1 species